AUUGAACGCUGGCGGCAGGCCUAAUACAUGCAAGUCGAACGAGUGGCGGACUGGCGAGUAAUGUCUUGGCACCUGGCUGGCGGAGGGGGCUAACUACUGGAACCGGUAGCUAAUACCGCAUACGACCCUUUCUGCUGUGAGUGGUUUAGCUUGUUGGUGGGGUAACGGCUCACCAAGGCGACGAUCCCUAGCUGGUCUGAGAGGAUGACCAGCCACACUGGAACUGAGACACGGUCCAGACUCCUACGGGAGGCAGCAGUGGGGAAUAUUGCGCAAUGGGCGCAAGCCUGAGUCAGCAAUGCCGCGUGUGUGAAGAAGGUCUUCGGGUUGUAAAGUACUGUCAGCGGGGAGGCGUUACCCGAAGAAGAAGCAACGGCUAACUCCGUGCCAGCAGCCGCGGUAAUAC
rnacentral:rRNA from 1 species